AGAGUUUGAUCAUGGCUCAGGAUAAACGCUAGCGGCAGGCCUAACACAUGCAAGUCGAGGGGUAACGAUGUCUUCGGACAGUCGACGACCGGCGCACGGGUGAGUAUCGCGUUUGUAACCUACCUUUAACUGGAGAAUAGCCCGAAGAAAUUCGGAUUAAUACUCCAUAAUACUAUGAACUGGCAUCUUUUUAUAGUUAAAGCUCCGGCGGUUAAAGAUGGGCAUGCGUAACAUUAGUUUGUUGGUGAGGUAACGGCUCACCAAGACUACGAUGUUUAGGGGGUCUGAGAGGAUGGUCCCCCACACUGGUACUGAGACACGGACCAGGCUCCUACGGGAGGCAGCAGUGAGGAAUAUUGGUCAAUGGGCGAAAGCCUGAACCAGCCAUGCCGCGUGAAGGAUGACAGCGCUACGCGUUGUAAACUUCUUUUGUACAGGAAGAAACACUUCUACGUGUAGAAGCUUGACGGUACUGUACGAAUAAGCAUCGGCUAACUCCGUGCCAGCAGCCGCGGUAAUACGGAGGAUGCAAGCGUUAUCCGGAUUUAUUGGGUUUAAAGGGUACGUAGGCGGAAAAUUAAGUCAGUAGUGAAAUCCCGCAGCUUAACUGUGGAACUGUUAUUGAUACUGGUUUUCUUGAAUAUAGUUGAAGUAGGCGGAAUGUGUAAUGUAGCGGUGAAAUGCUUAGAUAUUACACAGAACACCGAUUGCGAAGGC
rnacentral:rRNA from 1 species